UAAUUUUAAUAAUGCUCACACAAACAUAUUCAUCAAAGAUAUGUCAAAAAAUCAGGGGAAGCAACAUAUUUGAGAAAGAUAGUGACUUACACAUGGACAUAUAAGUAUUUUCAAGUAAUAUGCUUAUUGGUGACUUUAUUUUUUUAUUUUUAAUAUUAUUUUACUUACUUACAAUCUAGCCAUUGCCACCUCAUCCUGGUCUCCCCUCCCACAGUUUCUCAUCCCAUUCCUGCUCCCCAGUGUCUGAGAGGAUUCUCCUCCCUCCAGAUCUCCCCCCUCCCUGAAGUCUCUUGAGAUAUAUGUUGAGGCCAGACUAGGCAAUCCUCUGCUAUAUAUGCGCUGAGAACCUCAGAAUUGGAGAAAUUGCUCAGUAGUUGAGAGCACUGGCUCCUCUUCCAGAGAUCCUGAGUUCAAUUCCCAGCAAAACAUAGUGGCUCACAACCAUCUCUAACAGAAUCCUAUGCCCUCUCCUGGUGGGUCUCAAGAUUGUGACCUUAAUUUUUUAAACAGAGCCUUUCUUCAUAUUCCACCUGACUCUGUUUACUCCUAACCAGGACGGCUUUGAACUUGAAGUGAUAUUUCUGCCUCUUCUAACUCUCAUGGCCUAUGUCACUAUUGUAUAUCACUAUACAUAUGGUAUACAGUGUUUAAUAUUUUAUAUGCUUCCAUAUAACACUUUCCAUUUUGAACAUUAAUAGAAAAUGAAAAUAUCAUUGAAUAUUUUGCUUCAAUAGACACAGAUUUUAUUUUUGCAUUUCAUUUAAAACUUACUAUUUUAUAAUAUAUAUUUUCAUGUUAUUUUCAUAUUCCCUUUUACUUAUUAAGCAUGGUGUAAGUGAUUAAAAUUAAUAAACUAUCUCAACGAAGUAAGAGGUAAGUUCAUCACUGUGAGAUUAAGGAAAUUACUUCAUGACAUUGCAGCUUGACCUGAAAGGCAAUGCAUUGGAAAUGUAAAUGAAAUAAAUACCUAAUUUAAAAAAAAAACCAGACCCCCCAAAAAAUAAUGUAAAUGAAGAAAGUACAUAAUAAAAAAUUGGAAAAAAAAACAAGGCAAGCAAAUAGUUGGAGAAAAACAUUUCUAGCAGACAGGACAACUAGUCUGUGUUCAAAAAUGUACUACUGCCCCAUGAAGAUGCUCAUGACUUCUACAAAGGGUUUAGGGGGAAAUAGAAUAUAAGUCUUUAUCUUGCAAAUAUGAAGAUAUGAUCCUGAACCUCAUAACUCAAGCC
rnacentral:lncRNA from 1 species